GACGAACGCUGGCGGCGUGCUUAACACAUGCAAGUCGAACGAAAAGAGGGAAAGAGCUUGCUCUUUCCGGAAUUGAGUGGCAAACGGGUGAGUAACACGUAAACAACCUGCCUUCAGGAUGGGGACAACAGACGGAAACGACUGCUAAUACCGAAUAAGUUCCAAGGGCCGCAUGGCCCAUGGAAGAAAAGGUGGCCUCUACCUGUAAGCUAUCGCCUGAAGAGGGGUUUGCGUCUGAUUAGCUGGUUGGGGGGGUAACGGCCCACCAAGGCGACGAUCAGUAGCCGGUCUGAGAGGAUGGACGGCCACACUGGAACUGAGACACGGUCCAGACUCCUACGGGAGGCAGCAGUGGGGAAUCUUCCGCAAUGGGCGAAAGCCUGACGGAGCAACGCCGCGUGAGUGAUGACGGCCUUCGGGUUGUAAAACUCUGUGAUCCGGGACGAAAAGGCAGAGUGCGAAGAACAAACUGCAUUGACGGUACCGGAAAAGCAAGCCACGGCUAACUACGUG
rnacentral:rRNA from 1 species